AGGGCAGUAAAAAAGGUGUCAAGUUGGGAGAUGGAUGCAAUUCUCUCCACACGUAGGUGGUAAAGAACCAUCAGCCAGGGGGAAUGACACACACAUGCGGGCACAGAACGAGGGCCAGCGCUGAGAACGCUGGAAGGCAGGGACACCGUUCGCUAGCAGGUGAGUGACGUUAAAGGAUCUGCAGCGUGUGCCUCACGGGGGCGAAUAUUCCCAAGAGGUCCGGCGCUCCCCGCGCCCCUCAGGGUGGCCACCCCGGCGGCGGCCGGAGCCGGGCUGCGGGUCCAGGGACCCGGGCACGUGGGGGGGAAGCGAGGAGCGCCGGGCUCCCUCAGAGUGGGCAUCGCGUCCCUCCCCUCCGUGCUUCUCCUCUCGUGGCCCUUCCCGGCGGAGAACAAGGGGUUUUGCGACGUCAAGGCAAAGCUGGGAGGGAAGCCGCGGCCGGCGCCCCACCUGCCCAGGUGGUCGCCGGGUCAAGCCCGGGGCGACAACGCAGGUCGACCUCCAGGGGUAAACAGAAACCAGGCCUUUCAAAGAUGCCACCACUGACUUCAACCAAAGGUGGGGCUGCUGCCCCUCGCUUUGUACGGUUUGUACACAGCUGAACAACAUUCCUUCCUAAUAAGCGACCACCGACCACAGAGCAGUUCUGGCCAACUACGGAAGAGGCACAGUGAGGGUUUUCCUGUCCUCUGCUUCACCUUUUGACAUCAGAGUCCUGAAAACUUCACCCCGAGAUCACACUUUCAGUGCCACCAUUUUUUGAACAUGGGACCCAUGGAGAAGCAUGAGGCUCAAUUGCACACGCGCAGGUUUCCCAUCUCAUAAAUAUUCACGGAUGUAGCUUGGUGAGUAUAUGUAUAUUCUGCCACUCCAUUCAGCAUAAAUCCCUGUCUCUUCUAACCUUCAAAGUGCCUGUUUCCAGCUUCUCGCCAGAGGCUAUGCUUCCAUGGCCCCCCUGAAGGCUGUAGCCCUUUUUGAAAAAUAAAGCUCUCCCUUCCAAAUUUA